AGGGCUGAACUGGAGUUCUUCCUUUAUUCACAGAACCAGUUCUGUAAAGCCGGCUGCAGCGCAGGCUUGCGCGCAGGCUUGUGCGCAGUCCCCGGCUGGCCUGCUUAAACCCUGACCUGGAGGGAGCAGCUAAGGGUGAGAAUGUUGAUUCCCUCUCCAUGUCCAUCUCAUGUUUGGUUAGC
rnacentral:sRNA from 1 species